UACGUAGGGCGCAAGCGUUAUCCGGAAUUAUUGGGCGUAAAGAGCUCGUAGGCGGUUUGUUGCGUCGGCUGUGAAAUCCCGAGGCUCAACCUCGGGUCUGCAGUCGAUACGAGCAAACUAGAGUGUUGCAGGGGAGACUGGAAUUCCUGGUGUAGCGGUGAAAUGCGCAGAUAUCAGGAGGAACACCAGUAGCGAAGGCGGCACUCUGGGCCGGUACUGACGCUGGAGGAGCGAAAGCGUGGGGAGCGAACAGG
rnacentral:rRNA from 1 species